rnacentral:rRNA from 1 species
GAUUAACGCUGGCGGCGUGCAUAACACAUGCAAGUCGAACGAUGAAACUUAGUAGACUUCUUCGGAAAGACAUUAAGCGGAUUAGUGGCGAACGGGUGAGUAACCCGUGAGUAACCUGCCUUACACAAGGGGAUGGCCUUUGGAAACGAAAAAUAAUACCCUAUAAAACCAUAAAAGCACAUGCUAGAAUGGUCAAAGUGAUAGCGGUGUAAGAUGGACUUGCGUCUGAUUAGCUAGUUGGUGAGAUAAAAGCUCACCAAGGCAACGAUCAGUAGCCGGCUUGAGAGAGUGUACGGCCACAUUGGGACUGAGACACGGCCCAGACUCCUACGGGAGGCAGCAGUGGGGAAUUUUGCACAAUGGGGGAAACCCUGAUGCAGCGACGCCGCGUGAUUGAGAAGGCCUUCGGGUUGUAAAAAUCUUUUGUAUAGGAAGAAAAUGACAGUACUAUACGAAUAAGGUCCGGCUAAUUACGUG